rnacentral:rRNA from 1 species
CGAUGAUGCCCAGCUUGCUGGGUGGAUUAGUGGCGAACGGGUGAGUAACACGUGAGUAACCUGCCCCUGACUCUGGGAUAAGCGUUGGAAACGACGUCUAAUACUGGAUAUGAUCACUGGCCGCAUGGUCUGGUGGUGGAAAGAUUUUUUGGUUGGGGAUGGACUCGCGGCCUAUCAGCUUGUUGGUGAGGUAAUGGCUCACCAAGGCGACGACGGGUAGCCGGCCUGAGAGGGUGACCGGCCACACUGGGACUGAGACACGGCCCAGACUCCUACGGGAGGCAGCAGUGGGGAAUAUUGCACAAUGGGCGAAAGCCUGAUGCAGCAACGCCGCGUGAGGGAUGACGGCCUUCGGGUUGUAAACCUCUUUUAGUAGGGAAGAAGCGAAAGUGACGGUACCUGCAGAAAAAGCACCGGCUAACUACGUGCCAGCAGCCGCGGUAAUACGUAGGGUGCAAGCGUUGUCCGGAAUUAUUGGGCGUAAAGAGCUCGUAGGCGGUUUGUCGCGUCUGCUGUGAAAUCCCGAGGCUCAACCUCGGGCUUGCAGUGGGUACGGGCAGACUAGAGUGCGGUAGGGGAGAUUGGAAUUCCUGGUGUAGCGGUGGAAUGCGCAGAUAUCAGGAGGAACACCGAUGGCGAAGGCAGAUCUCUGGGCCGUAACUGACGCUGAGGAGCGAAAGCAUGNGGAGCGAACAGGAUUAGAUA